rnacentral:rRNA from 1 species
GAUGAAUGCUGGCGGCGUGCCUAACACAUGCAAGUCGAGCGGUAACAGGAGUAGUUUACUACUUGCUGACGAGCGGCGGACGGCUGAGUAACGCGUGGGAACGUGCCCCAAAGUGAGGAAUAACUGCCCGAAAGGGUAGCUAAUACCGCAUAUGAUCUUCGGAUUAAAGGAUUUAUCCGCUUUGGGAGCGGCCCGCGUACGAUUAGGUAGUUGGUAGGGUAAUGGCCUACCAAGCCGACGAUCGUUAACUGGUCUUAGAGGAUGAUCAGUCAGACUGGAACUGAGACACGGUCCAGACUCCUACGGGAGGCAGCAGUGAGGAAUCUUCCACAAUGGGCGAAAGCCUGAUGGAGCAACGCCGCGUGCAGGAUGAAGGCCUUCGGGUUGUAAACUGCUUUUAUAAGUGAAGAAUAUGACGGUAACUUAUGAAUAAGCACCGGCUAACUACGUGCCAGCCGCCGCCGUA